UUUUUUUAAAAUGUAUUAACACAUUAUGGCCAUUUCGUGGUUGACUAUGGUCUAUAAUUAAAUAUUACAAGAGAAAUUAUAUAUACUAUCCUGGUCAUAAUGUUAUGAGACAUGACAAGAGAUUACAUUAUCUUUCACACUGCAUGGAGACGACUGGUAUGGCUAUUAAGCUAGCGGAGCCCAGUCGACAUGUCACGGCCACGAUGGAGUGUGUGUUGGGGGUGGGGGUCUCCUCUUAUUUCGUCUGGAAGUGUGGAUCAAUGUUUCAAAGUGACCGGGAAGAGAAAGCCGCCAUCUUGUACGCUCCUGAUGGCGCUGUGUGUGAAGAUUGUGCAUCGUUUGCGCUCCAAAGCGUCCCAGCUGAGCUCCGCCCCUUGGCAAGACGAGUCAGCGCGUCUCAGGCUUCUCAGGUGUCCUGGUAGGGCAGAUGGUAGCAGCCGGGACUGUUGUCGUCCGGCGACCAGAAGGAAGACGGACACUUGUGGUGGAGUUCUCUGCGCACGCAGCGAGGACACGGCUGAGCCUUCUGUCGGCACUCGGCGUGGAAGACGGCGCCGCAGCCGUCGCACCUGGGGGACGCCACGACACAUCAGCGCUCUUUUCCGCCGCCUACACGCGGAGCUGGUAGCUGUACCCACCUCUUGGUGGCGCUUUCCUGGAAAGGGUAGAUGACCUGUCCGUUGUGGCAGAGUUCACAGAUGAAUCCCUUCUCCCGACAAAGACUGCAGCUGAACACGUGCGAGCUGGCGAACUUUAUCACCUUGGACAGGAACGGCGCCAGCUGACCGUCGAUCACCUGCAGGGGCAGCAAGACACCCCAUGAUGUAACUCCAUUGGUUGGAAAUCACAGUUAAAAAGGAGAGAAGAAGAAGCAGCCAUCUGUCACACUCAGGUGCUGACGGCGACACCGCGGCCCCGAUGCGGAGGCGCUGCUCCGGCCCCGCCUUCCCUCCUCCCCCUGCCUCCCUCUGUCCCGUUGACGAAUGCCUGGCCUGAUGCGUGCUGACAGGCUCACUAAUUAAGAACUCUCCCCUAAUUGGAGCAGACAAUCCAACGACAGGCAGCACAUUGGUGGAGCAAACUCCUCCAAGCACGCCUUCGUUUGUAAGCUAGCAAGGGGCCUCCUCAAAGUGUCCUAACAAAGUCGGAUGCAUACAGCUGUCCAAAGUGUCUUGCUAGGAUGAUGAAUCGACGUUCCGGGACCACUAAGGACUUCCGUCUACCCUCUCAUUCAUUCAAGAGGUCAGUCCCAAUACUUAACACAAGUCUCCUCUCUGGUAAAGUGUACGUGUGUGUGUGUGUGUGUGUGUGUGUGUGUGUGCAUACCUGCUGCAGGUCAGCCAUCGAGUAGAGGUGAAUGUGCUGGAGCAAAUACUCUCGAGGGAAGAUUCUGUGGUGGAGAAGAAGUAAAGAGUUGUGCAGCAGGCGUGCCGGGAUGAGGAAGGUGUUGUCCCGGUGGCAGCUCUGACAGUAAUACCAACCGCUGUAGUGGCACACCUUGGCCUUUCCUCUGGACAGACCCACGGGACGCUGACAGCCUGACGACACACAGCGAGGAUGUCAUGACAACAGGUCACUUCCACUCAGCAUCAGUGAACAAAGAAAGGUCACGCCACUCUAUAAACCACUGUGACCCCCACGUGAGAAGACUGCAGGGUGGAUGAAAAUACAUAAGAAAUGACGGUUGGAUGAUCUGCAAAUUUGAGCCGUUGGUCCUGAAGGAAAAAGACGAAUUUACUUUCCACUGACAGUACAGUAAGUCAACUCCCGCCGCGCCGUAAUCCUGUAAUUCCUCCAAAUCUGCUAAAGCCUUUUCUAUCUUUUUGAUGAGUUCAAUGACUUGCCUUGGGUUGUUCCCCUUGAUGGGAGGUAGAUCCUGUAACUCCCUCCAGAUCUCAAUGACUAUGGAUGGUUUGUUUCCAUGUUUGUUGUCAACAACUCUGAACGUUUCUUCGCCAGUCCUGUAGGAUGUUUAUCAAAGGUCUUUUGUGAUCCCGUGGUCUACACUUGACAAGUUGCUUUAACCUUCAGGAACUAGGCUGGGACUCAACUCUUUAUCAGUCUUAUGCGUCUGUUCAUUUUUAGUCUCUAGGAUAGUUUCCAGCCUUGCUGAGUUGCUUCAGGUCAUCUUGUGGUUCAGUUCUUCUAAUGACUUAUAGAAAGCUAUUCUUUAUAUCUUGUGGUCCUCCGGUUUCCUCCGGCUUUAGUUUUAUUUUUCCUAUGUUGUUAGCGCUACGUUCUCUUUCGUGUUGUCCUGACUUGCGUCAGGUACUUCACAGAGGUAUCUGGAGAGUGUAACAAAUUCCUGUCAGAGCUCUUUCUCCAUCAUCUGGUCCGCAGUUCCGUCAAGUUCUCUGUGAAGCAGCUUGUUUGAUUCCCAGAAUCCUGACUCCUGUGACUUGAUCCUCCCGACGAGGUCUCGGUUUGGUCAGCAGUUUGGUUUGGAACAUUUAAGGACUUGAUUUUCCAUCCAACAACUAAACGAUAACCGUCGUUUAUCAACUGUCAAGUUCUUUUGGAAAGGCUGAGAAGAUCGUAGAGGACAUUUUAUCAGCUCAGUGAUUGGUCGAUAGCUUGGUAAAGAGGAAUAGCAUCACUAAACACGCUUACGUCAACCAAUCGGGGGGCAGUUGUGAGGCAACCUGAUUGGUUGAGGAAACAGCGCCACAGAUAAUAGUGUGUAUGGGACAUGGGCCAGCACUCCUGAUUCUGAAGGCCCUGAGCGGAUUAGACUGACAUGCUAACACACAGAACGAUAAUAAACUACCGGGAAUCAUUUCUUACAAUAGCAGAAUUUAAGUUGUAAAUAUAGGUUCAGUGAUUCUGGUUGUGUUUGGGCCAGCAGAGGAGGCUUUGCUGGCCUUGAUGGCACACCACAGCGUUUUAAUAUGAACAUUUGCGAGCCUCUUUCUGCACUUCCACGUACAGUCGAGACCGUUAAAAGGUUGUUGCCCAGCAAAGCAACCAGAAGCCAACAAAGCUGAGGUGUUUUUGUUCUUCAAUGUGAGGAAUCGGACCGUGUUUGUCCGCACUUCCCGUUUAGAAUUCAUUAUUCACGGCACUCACACACUGGCUACUUCUUUAUUUGUCCCCAGCAUCUCCCCUUCUGAUGACUAAAUUAUGAUUACAUUUAAGAUGUGCAGCGCUUUCAUCUGCCAUCGUGUGUUGUCUCACUCUGACCCCCUCUUACCUCUCUCCAACCGCCGCGCUGACCCCCGAGCGCACGCCGCACAAUGGCCCGUCUACCUCCACUGGGCCGCCCGCUAUUGAAGUGCCGAGCGGUUGCUUCCAUCUCCAUGGAAACGCCGCGCUCGGAUCGGGCGUACGCUUGCCCCCCCCCCCCCCCCCCCACCCCCCUUUGCCCUGUCUCUGAUGGAGUA